CCUACGGGAGGCAGCAGUGAGGAAUCUUUGUCAAUGGACGAGAGUCUGAACCAGCCAAGUCGCGUGAAGGAUGACUGCCCUACGGGUUGUAAACUUCUUUUAUCUGGGAAUAAAAUGUUCCACGUGUGGGAUUUUGUAUGUACCAUAUGAAUACGGAUCGGCUAACUCCGUGCAAGCAGCCGCGGUAAUACGGAGGAGCCGAGCGUUGUCCGUAUUUGUUGGGUGUAAAGGGCGCGUAGGUGGAUUGUUAAGGCAGUUGUGAAAGGUUGGGGCUCAACCGUAAAAUUGCAGUUGAAACUGGCAGUCUUGAGUACAGUAGAGGUGAGCGGAAUUCGUGGUGUAGCGGUGAAAUGCUUAGAUAUCACGAAGAACUCCGAUUGCGAAGGCAGCUCACUGGACUGCAACUGACACUGAGGCUCGAAAGUGUGGGUAGCAAACAGGAUUAGAUACCCUUGUAGUC
rnacentral:rRNA from 1 species